AAAACAACCAACAAACGUGAUCGGGUGAGAGAGUCAGCUCGCGGAAGAGGGGAGCCCAAUUAGGAAUUACUAAUUAGGAUUGGAUCAAAAAUCUAUGAAGCUUAAAAGGAGAAAUACGACUAGCUCGCUUCGAUGGUAAUAUAAUAAGAUUGUUGUGCAUGUUUCUCAUUGAGGAUACAUACAAGUUGAUACAAAGACUUUUUGAAAAGUAUUGAGGAGGAAGUUUGAGCAAACAUAUGUUUGAAAACAUGUUAUUGAUACAUAUUUCGGAAAGCUUUAACCCACUUUUUGUAAAAUUUUAACCGACUCUUUUGGUGUAUGACAAUAUAAUGUUUGUUUUUCUUAUGUAGUUAUAAUUAGAUUGACAGUAGUAUCACUAACUGGUGUGUAUUUUAAUUUUAAUUUCUUUUAGAUUGCAGAGCACUGGCUGGCAUACAUUAUUUGAUA